GUCCACCUGGACACAAUAUAAUGAACUCAGAGUAAACAGGCUGCAGCUUCAGAGAAUCUCCUUCACUGAAGACAUCCUCACCACCUGGAGCCUCAGACGACGACUCCUGCCUGGACCACAGAGUGAAUCAGACGACCAACCACUCAUCAGCCGACCUUCUACAAGUAAAUCAUGAAGAUCCAGUUUGCCUGUUUCCUGCUGGUGCUGCUCUCUGCCUCUGUGCUCGCUCAGAAUUUCAAUCAGGAGCAUGUCAUUGGGGCAGGAGAUCCGCAAGAUUGUACAGAGUUAUUGAACAGCAGGGGGCUUGCUGAUUUGGGGAGAAUAUGCAAGCACUCAACUACCUUCAUUGUGGAUGGCAAGCCGUCAGUCAAUGAUGUCUGUGCAAAAAGUGUUGGGCAAACAAAAAGUAAAGAAAAGUUUGCAAUUCUUGACUGUACACUUAAAGCAAAUACUAAGUGCGCCUACACCACUGUACCUCGCAGCGCAUACAUUACACUUGAGUGUAAAGAUAAUCAACCUGUGAAAUUUAUCGGUGCAGAGAGGCCUGCAUAAGCAUCUGCUAUGAUGUAAAAAUCUGAAGUGUGAUGUUAAUGAGGUUGUGGAUGCGCUUUUCAAGAUUCAUCUUCUGUUUGCUUGAUAAAAUAAUGAUAAUAGUAAUAUUAAUAAUGAUAAUGAUAAAGGAAUGGUCUUCACUCAGUUACCUUGCAUGUCUUUGCUGUACCCUGCUUGUCUUCAUUCAAACAAGCAGCUUUCCUUUUCUGCCACACUCAGAGAAUAAACUCACUGUAACCGAC